CUAAGCUCCACUGGGUCUUUUCCUGUCGUAACAGAGAGGUGGGGUGACAUUGUCUGGGAGGUUCACACGUUCAGGGAAAGAUCAAGCAUAAAAUUUGAAAGGGACCAAGCAGCAAUGUUAGUAUGUGGUGGGCUCAGUAAUCGACGAUGAACAAAAACGUCAGUUCGAACAUCUAAUCUGCAUGUGGACAGAAGUGCUCUGAGCCCAAGUGGUCAUCAAAGCUGUUCGGUUCAUAUAUUAGUGUUAAUCCUUUGUGGUUCAUUAAUAAAAGGACAUUUGGAGCAGUUAGUGGUCUCCUUGCUCUAGCCGUGCACAGUGACUUGUUCCUCGGACAGAGUUACAGAUGCGGGGGAUUUGGAGGAUUCCUACCUUAUCUUUGUCCGAUAAUACUGAAUUAACUCAUAUCGUCACUAUUUUUAAGAAACACAAAAGCCUAUUAGCUUAAAAUUUUGGCUUCUCGUAUGCCAGUUGGAAAUAAACUCCAAAAUAGAUCAAUAUAAAAAACAAAACUAUUAAAACUCUAAAGAAAAAUAUAGGUGAAUAUUUAUGUAAUUUUAGUGCCGAGAAGACGUUCAGUGCACGACAGAAGGAGGGGGAGAAGGUAUAAGAAAAGGUAAUAAGAUUGACUACUAAGAUAUGAAGAUGCCAGAGAAAUGUAUUCAUGGACACUGAACAAAGCCUAUGUGAUAUUUUGCUAAGUGAAAUGUGGGUAGUGGGGCAUCGCCGGCUGAUUAGGGGCUAAAGUCAUAAAGUUCCAGCAGGAGCUUAUUUUGCGUACCUUUUCUUCUCCCUAGCCUACUUGAGCCGAACCCCACUAGGAUGAGUACCAACGGCAAUCUUGUUGCGGGACAUGGUACAAGAAUGAUCUCUUCUUCUCAAUGUCUCAGAAAAUGAAGGAAGUGGGGUGUUCAGAGAGGCUGUUCUGUAAUAAAAGAGUUUUAAGACUCAUAAAAAUCAAAUAUGAUGCCUAACCCAUGAAUGGGUUCUCGUGAGAAGAAAAGAACCAUAAAAGCACCAUGUAAUCUGGAAUCUUGGUCCAGCCCUCAUGACCCGUCUGUUCUCUGCCAAGUCUCACAGAAUCUCAUCCUGUGCUGCAGCUCAGUUCAGUAUUCAGUCAAAGACCCAAGGAAAGGAACUCCUCUGGAUGUUUUGGAAGCUACUUUUCUAUAUUUCUCCCCGUUCUGUGGCACCAUGUCCUGCAAAUGCAACUUGCUCCAACAACCUUAGACUCUGAUCUUGGUCCGUUCUACCCAGGGACACUCCUCUUUUCUGCUUGGGCUCCUCUUCCCUGUGCUGCAGCUUGGAAAGUGCUCUCUCAGCUAUAAUAUAGAUCUCAUCUCAUGUGUGGCUUUUCUUUCAAAGAUCACAACCUUGCACUGUCUAUCCAAUACCUGAAAGCAGCUAGUUCAUAUGUAUUGUCCAGUUUUAUGGUUCAUUCCCUGAGAGGGCAAGCCCAGUCAUCCUUACUCCAUCUUGCCUAGAACUAGAAGUGACUUCAACUUGCUUAUUAAUCUCUGAACUUCAGGUUCAUCAACACCUGUGGCAUGAGGCUUUGGGCUAGACCAGUACAUCUGAUGUGUAACUCUGCCCAUAUUCAGAGCUGUUUCUCAGUCCAAGCCACUUUCUCCACCUAUAAUAUGGGUUUCCAGUAUAAAAGUUGGAUUUGAUCUCUUGAAUAAACUCUUCUGCAGUUACAGAAACUUUUGAACUAGAAGAAUCAUCAGGCAUUACACAGUCAAUAUUUUUAUGGCUAAGGUGCACAUUAUUUUAAAAUUUAUAAAGCACUUUCACAUACAUAUUUCACUAGUUUAUAGAUGUUUUCUGUUUUGUGAAUACAAGCCAAGCUGAUACUAUCCGUCUUUUAUAAGGUUCUGAAAAGGUAUGUGGCUGAAGAAAGGUUCCUUAGCAGAUCAGAGGCACAGCCUGGAUUUAAAUCAGUCUAAGCUCAGGGCCUUCCCACAAAACGACACCUCUGAGUUUAUGUGAAAAGUGAGGAAGUUAUCACAGGUCUUCAAGGUCCUACCACAUUUUUCACUUCUUUGGCCAUUGCAGCAGCGCUGGCGAAAGUUCUCAUGAGCAGCUUCUGUGAAGGUGUGUGGUGGGGGAAAAAACAGUGUUUGAUUAUAUCAGUCAGGAUUGGCUUGGGUACACUGGGUAACAAACAAUCCCUCAAAUCUCAGUGGCCUAAACUAGCAAAGAGUCACUUAGUUUUCAGGCUGUUUGUCCGUGAUGGUUAGGCAGGGGCACCGAGGGUCCCAGGCAAGUGGAGUAGCCGUCAUCUCAAAUGUCGCCGAUGCCGUGUUAGAGCGACAAAAAGAAUUCUGGAGGACCUCAAGCUGUCAGUUAGUGUUCUUGUGUGUGUGUCCCUUCUACCUGUGACC
rnacentral:lncRNA from 1 species